UGAACUUCGGCAUGGGGAUCUGUUUCACUCGGCCAAUAUUGUUUCAAGCAUUGAAUUUGAUCGGGAUGAUGAGUUGUUUGCUACUGCUGGAGUUUCACGGCGUAUAAAAGUUUUUGACUUCUCUUCAGUUGUAAAUGAACCUGCAGAUGCACACUGCCCUGUUGUUGAAAUGUCUACCCGAUCUAAGCUGAGCUGCUUGAGUUGGAAUAAGUAUACCAAGAACCACAUAGCUAGUAGUGAUUAUGAUGGAAUAGUAACUGUAUGGGAUGUGACGACUAGACAGAGUGUGAUGG
rnacentral:misc_RNA from 1 species